rnacentral:rRNA from 1 species
AUUGAACGCUGGCGGCAGGCCUAACACAUGCAAGUCGAGCGAGCGGCGGACGGGUGAGUAAUGUCUGGGAAACUGCCUGAUGGAGGGGGAUAACUACUGGAAACGGUAGCUAAUACCGCAUACCAUCAGAUGUGCCCAGAUGGGAUUAGCUAGUAGGUGGGGUAAUGGCUCGACUAGGCGACGAUCCCUAGCUGGUCUGAGAGGAUGAACAGCCACACUGUAACAGAGACACGGUCCAGACUCCUGAGGGAGGAAGCAGUGGGGAAUAUUGCACAAAGGGCGCAAGCCUGAUGCAGCCAUGCCGCUUGGUUGAAGAAGGCUGUCGGGUUGUAAAGCACUUGCAGCGGGGAGGCGUUACCCGCAGAAGAAGCACCGGCGAACUCCGUGGCAGCAGCCGCGGUAAUUC